rnacentral:lncRNA from 1 species
AUGUACACACACAACAAAAAUGAUCACGCGCACACACAUUCAAAACACAAAAAUAACCCAAUCCUUUCUCCUGUCCCCUCUCUGCCAUCCUCUGCUCCCCCCCCCUCCCAUCCUCAUGUCCUCCCUCCCAUCCUCGUCCUUCCCCUGCCCCACCUUCUCUCCCUCCCAUCCUCUGUCCCCUCUCUGUCCUCCCCUCCCAUCCUCUCGUCCCCUCUGUCCUCCCUCCCAUCCUCUGUCCCCUCUCUGUCAUCUCUCCCAUCCUCGUCCCCUCUCUGUCCUCCCCUCCACUCCUCGUCCCCUCUUGUCCUUCCUCCCAUCCCUGUCCCCUCUCUGUCCUCCUCCCAUCUCUGUCCCCCCCUUUCCCAUCUCUGUCCCUCCCCCCAUCCUCUGUCCCCUCCUGUCCUCCCCUCCCAUCCUCUUCCCUCUCUGUCCUCCCCUCCCAUCCUUUUCCCUCUCUGUCCUCCCCUCCCAUCCUCUUUCCCCUCUCUGUCCUCCCCUCCAUCCUCUUUCCCCUCUCUGUCCUCCCCUCCAUCCUCUUUCCCCUCUCUGUCCUCCCUCCCAUCCUCUUUCCCCCUCUCUGUCCUCCCCCCAUCCUCCUUUCCCCUCUCUGUCCUCCCCUCCCAUCCUCUGUCCCCUCUCUGUCCUCCCCUCCCAUCCCACACCUACUCGUCCUCGUCCCCUCUCUUCCUCCCCCUCCCAUCCCUGUCCCCUCCAUCCCUCUCCUCCUCUGUCCUCCCAUCCUCUGUCCCUCUCUGUCCCUCCCCAUCCUCUGUCCCCCCAUCUCUGUCCCCCAUCCUCUGUCCCCUCUCUGUCCUCCCACCUCUGUCCCCUCUCUGUCCUCCCAUCCUCUGUCCCUUCUCUGUCCUCCCAUCCCAUGUCCCAUCUUGUCCUCCCUCCCUCUGUCCCCUCUCUGUCCCCAUCCUCUGUCCCCUCUCUGUCCUCCCAUCCUCUGUCCUCUCUGUCCUCCCAUCCUCUGUCCCCUCUGUAGCUGUGGGGUGGGUAUGCCAGCCUGGUACGUGGCGCGUGUCGUGCCAAUGUGAAGAGCGGUGCCAAUAUGUCUGCCCUGUCGGACACAGAGAUCCAGAGGGAGAUUGGCAUCAGUAA